ACGACCUUACUUGAACAGGAUCUAUCCUAUAGGUUUGUACCUCUGUAUCCUUGAUUUCUAAGGAGACAGGCCCUUAACCCUGUAGAGGAUCGUUACCCGGCUUGGUAUCAAACUUAGCUGGGGUGAUCGCACAGCGGUCUGACAGGUU
rnacentral:snoRNA from 1 species